rnacentral:rRNA from 1 species
CCGCAACGAGCGCAACCUUACCCUUAGUGUUUUCCCGAAACGGAUUACCCUCUAAGGGGACCUGCCCCGGACAACGGGGAGGAAGGUGGGGAUGACGUCAAGUCCGCAUGCUCCUUACGUCUAGGGCUACACACGUCCUACAAUGGGGUCGACAGUGGGAUGCAAAGCCGCGAGGUGGAGCCAAUCCCCAAACGGCCUCUCAGUUCGGAUAGUAGUCUGCAACUCGACUACUUGAAGUCGGAAUCGCUAGUAAUGGCGGAUCAGCAUGCCGCCGUGAAUACGUUCCCGGGUCUU